GGGGGCGGGGGGUCCGGCCGCCGAGGGCAGGGAGGCCGGGAGCCCGGAGCCGCUCGCUCUGCCCAGGUCCGCCGAGCCCAGCUCGGGGCAGGGCGCAGCGGGGGCCGCGGGGAGCUGCUUCCCGCCCCGGGCUGAGCGGCCGCUGCGUCGGUAUUUGACAGCCGGGAGUGCCCUGCCGAGCAGUGAGCGCCGCCGGCGGCCCCGGCCCCGCGCUGCCUACGUGAGAGCGCAGGUCCUGGCCGGGCUGAGGGCGGCCGCCGCCUCCCCGUGCUCGCAGGGCUCCGGCACUGCCGCGCCGCGCUCCCCUGGUCCCUGCCGGCCGGCUCUUCCCUGAGCGGCUCCCGCAGCCGAGCGCCCGCUUUCAGCGCCCCUCAGACGUGGGCGCUGCUGCCGCCGGGGCACAAGCCGCCCGGGUUGGGGGCUCCAGGAACUUUGAAAUGCCUGGGGGUGCGCGGGUCCUGUGACAGGACCUGAUGAAGUCAACUUCAGCUGAGGAAAACAUGUGGGGCUCUCUCUCAUUACACACCUGCUAAGGUAUCAUUAGUGAUACUUCUCCAGGCUCUUGAGAUGAUGACGAUUUUUGUGCAACGGUUUGAUACUUCAAGUCAUGUAAUAUUUUGACUACUAUUCCCACUACUCUUCUGCUAGCAAGAGCAUCAAUACUGAGAGGCUCUUUCAACUCCCACUGAAAUUAGUAGAAGUCAAGGAUGUCUGGUCGGUACCAUUCCAUAACGUGACCACAAGGCCAAAUUGCAGUCCCAACUAAGUCAAUGGAGUCUGGUCGCCAAUUUCAGUUGUCCCAAGACUUGCUUCUUAUUUUCUCAUUUACAAAGAUUCACAAAUGCCCCUCUAGACAUUGGUGCAAGUUACUGAUCUUCCACUGCAGAAAUGGAAUAAUAGGUGCGUGACGAGUUACCUUACAUGCCAGAUAACAUAGGAAAUAACAUUCUUUACUUAUCUUUGUAUAAAAUAUGCUUAGAAAACUAAAACAGCUACGCUAAUUUAAAAUGCUCAAUUUGUGACAGUAUACUUAAUUAUAUUUUUCCAACUUUGAAUUUUUUACCUAAUAAAAAACUCUGCAAUUAUUUUUAUUUGUAAUGCCCCAAGGAUAUAGCUUUCCACACCAUUGAGUGCUUUUAUCACAGGAUCAAGAGAGCAAUAAAUCUGAACAGAUGUAACCUGGUAAGGGAUUUGUACAAAGAAAUAACACAUGACAAAUUAACACUAAAGUUAAAAUAAACCCAGAACAA